UACGUAGGGGGCGAGCGUUAUCCAGAUUUACUGGGCGUAAAGCGCGUGUAGGCGGCUGGUUAGGUGUGAUGUGAAAUCCUCGGGCUCAACCCGAGAACUGCAUUGCAAACCGGCCUGGCUAGAGUGCAGGAGAGGGAAGCGGAAUUCCAGGUGUAGCGGUGAAAUGCGUAGAUAUCUGGAGGAACACCAAUGGCGAAGGCAGCACUCUGGGACGUGACUGACGCUGAGACGCGAAAGCGUGGGGAGCGAACAGG
rnacentral:rRNA from 1 species